rnacentral:rRNA from 1 species
AAUAUUGGACAAUGUGGGCAACCCUGAUCCAGCCAUGCCGCGUGUGUGAAGAAGGUCUUCGGAUUGUAAAGCCCUUUAAGUUGGGAGGAAGGGCUUUAGGUUAAUACCCUGAUGUUUUGACGUUAUCAACAGACUAAGCACCGGCUAACUCUGUGCCAGCAGCCGCGUUAAUACAGAGGGUGCAAGCGUUAUUCGUAAUUACUGGGCGUAAAGCGCGCGUAGGUAGUUCAGUAAGAUGGGUGUGAAAUCCCCGGGCUUAACCUGGGAACUGCUUUCAUAACUGCUGAGCUAGAGUACGGUAGAGGGUAGUGGAACUUCCUGUGUAGCGGUGAAAUGCGUAGAUAUAGGAAGGAACACCAGUGGCGAAGGCGACUACCUGGACUGAUACUGACACUGAGGUGCGAAAGCGUGGGGAGCAAAC